rnacentral:lncRNA from 10 species
AGAAGACAAAAAACCCACAACCCAAAGGAUGGGAUUUUACAUCUCAAGACAUCUCCUAGCAAAACUGCAUUUCCCAAGCUCCUCUUCUCUCAAUGGGUCACAUGACUUGUUCUAGCCAAUAGAACGAGGGUGGAAGUAAUGUGACCACUUUCAGGUGUCCCCUAAAGUCUCCUGUGAGAUCUUCCAAUCUUGCUCUCCUCACUCUGCAUGGCUGGAAAUGAAUACUCUGAUAUCUGAAACAACAUGAUGAAGGAGCCAGGAUGCCUAAGUUCACCACUUAGAGAAGAGACAGCUUGAAGAGUCAUUCUGGAGAACUGGCUGACCAAACUCAUUGGAUUGUAACAGAAUAUAAACCUUUUAUUCUGAUAUGCCAGAGGCACAUUAUGGAUUGUAUUACAAUGACUAGCAUUAGCUGUCCUGAUUAAUAGACACUGUGACAAGAUUCUUUAUUGCUAAAAGAAAAAAAAAGCAAUGGCUGAUACCUGAUUAACAGACACUGUGACAAGAUUUUUUAUUGCUAAAAGAAAAAAAAAAAGCAAUGGCUGAUACCAUUUAAAAUAAAACUUACAAUUAAGGCAAUUCAGUUUGAAAUGUGUUUAUGAAGUUAUUUCAUAGCACUAAUUACAGUUCUAACAA